UCUUUCUCUCUCUUGCCUAGGAACUGUCAAAAUGGUUAAUUUGUUAUUUUAAGAUAUAUUUAUCAUAUUAAGUAACUCAGUUUAUUACAGGUGAGAUUUCCUUCAGUAACCUGCUUUUUUUCCCAUCAAAAUACCCCCAUUUGUUUGUAAAAUAUCAAUUAUGGGGUAUGGCUUGGGACCCUUUUUCUGAAGAAAUUACCAGUAUUAUUGGUUAUCAGUUGGAUUUUCUUCAUCGUGAACUAUGAAGGCUAGAAUGAGAACAUGUUCCUGUGUUAAGCAACCUCAUACAGAUUCAGAUUCAGUUUUAUAUUCUUAGUUUAGUUAAAAUUUUCCUUCGCUCUGAAGCAUAGGGUAAAAUGGAGUUUUGUUAAUUUGAACUUAAAUUUGAAUUGUUUUAAGUGGAUCUCAAUUAAUUAUUAUGUUUUGUUUCAUAUUUUAUU